rnacentral:sRNA from 1 species
CUUCGAGUCACUGCGUCGGAGGCAUACGUCGGAAGUGCCGCGUCGGCGGUACGCGAAAUGGUUGGGAUAUCGCCACUCAUCAGUUCUAAUUACUUCCGUUCACCGAAGCCGGAGGGUACGACGAUCGUACGUAGUAGUAGUAUAGCUUUUGAAGAUCAAUCGCAGCCUGCUUCUACGACUACGUACGUCUUACUUGUUCCUCUUGAAUCUCUGAACGGUAUCGCGGAGAUAUGAUGAGGCUGCAUAAACGACUUCACACCGUGAUCAAUAUACUGUCAACCGACCCUAAUCAAGUCAUCUGCCCCUUGAGACGCGGUUAUCAAAAAGAAUCGAAUAUCAAGCAAAGUUCCCUUUGGCCAAUGGUCGCGCCAACAGCUGACUGGAAUGAACUAUGCAGGGGGCGCUGCGUAGAAGGGAUUACCGACGUGGCACAUGGAAGUUCGAAUCAGCGUUAUUAACAAUCAGAGCUUGGGCUUAUGACAAUAAUGCCGUGAAUGCACCGCUGUCAUCUGCUGAUGAUCUAUAUAGACGUUCUUUUUUUGUGGGAUUGUUACGUCACAAGACACGCAAAGAAAGAUAUUAACAACAUACAAACGAAAACAAUUCGAUUCGAAGGUAAAGAAAUCAAGGUUAAGAUAACGGGCAAAAGCCACAAUUCAAACUCCGGAUGAUAUCGCUUUAGGUACUUUGGCCCCUUGCGCCGCUCUCAGCAAUCUCGGUUCGGUAGAUAUUGGUCCAACAAUGUUCUGUUGGUUACGCCUGAGGCUGCAAAAGAAGAUCUUAGAUUGGACGGCUUGGAGCUAGUGGGGCUAUGCCCUCUGGGUUUGAAAGAUAAUGGCGAUGGCGAAUGUGAGGUUGAAGAGUAGAAUGAAUGAGGAGUUCGGAGCAGAGCUGCUUUAUUCAAUCUUGGUGUCUGCCAACGACUGUCAGAAAUCUAUGGAAAGGAAUUAAGGUCUCAAGGCUCACAAUACAAGGUGUGCCCAAACUUUUAAGUGACGUAAUUUCGGAUCUUCGAGGAAGCCUAGGCUUAACUCCUUCAUCCCCUCCCUUCUCGUUUACUUUCUCGCUAUGUCCAGCAAGCGACAUUGAUUGCCUCGCGAAAGGAACACUCGAGACUGACUGGGGAGGUUUGAUACCCG